CAGUCCUUGAAAUUAGUCCCGUGAGGCUAAUAAGGACGGGCGACAGCGGUCCUCCUUAUUAGCCGGUAAGCUGAUAAGGAGUUUUUUAU
rfam:Moorella glycerini strain NMP genome assembly, contig: M_glycerini_NMP_DRAFT_scaffold-70